rnacentral:rRNA from 1 species
UGGGGAAUAUUGCGCAAUGGGGGGAACCCUGACGCAGCCAUGCCGCGUGAAUGAAGAAGGCCUUCGGGUUGUAAAGUUCUUUCGGUAUUGAGGAAGGUUGAUGUGUUAAUAGUACAUCAAAUUGACGUUAAAUACAGAAGAAGCACCGGCUAACUCCGUGCCAGCAGCCGCGGUAAUACGGAGGGUGCGAGCGUUAAUCGGAAUAACUGGGCGUAAAGGGCACGCAGGCGGUUAUUUAAGUGAGGUGUGAAAGCCCUGGGCUUAACCUAGGAAUUGCAUCUCAGACUGGGUAACUAGAGUACUUUAGGGAGGGGUAGAAUUCCACGUGUAGCGGUGAAAUGCGUAGAGAUGUGGAGGAAUACCGAAGGCGAAGGCAGCCCCUUGGGAAUGUACUGACGCUCAUGUGCGAAAGCGUGGGGAGCAAACAGGAUUAGAUACCCUGGUAGUCCACGCUGUAAACGCUGUCGAUUUGGGGGUUGGGGUUUAACUCUGGCGCCCGUAGCUAACGUGAUAAAUCGACCGCCUGGGGAGUACGGCCGCAAGGUUA